rnacentral:rRNA from 1 species
UACGUAGGGACCAAGCGUUGUUCGGAUUUACUGGGCGUAAAGGGCGCGUAGGCGGCUUGACAAGUCACUUGUGAAAUCUCCGGGCUUAACUCGGAACGGCCAAGUGAAACUGUCAUGCUAGAGUGCAGAAGGGGCAAUCGGGAAUUCUUGGUGUAGCGGUGAAAUGCGUAGAUAUCAAGAGGAACACCUGAGGUGAAGACGGGUUGCUGGGCUGACACGUGACGCUGGAGGCGCGAAAGCCAGGGGAGCAAACGGGAUUAGAA